UUAAGGGAGAUGAUUAUAUGCUCUAAACCCAAAAGAAAAACAUCUCCACAGAAGAAAAGAGAUACAAAGAAACAAUGCCAGCACAGAAGAUUCAACUUGCUUGUUUGAUCCUGAUCCUAGCUUUUUUUCUUCUAUUUUCUCGAUCAACUGGUAAUAUAUAUUUUCUUCCUCUACUUCUUCAUAAUUGAAUGAUAUAAUAAAAUGAACUGAUUCGGAUUAUUUAUUUUUAAAUAAACUUUUCAGCUACAUGUCACUAUAGAUUCCCUCCCUCAGGCCCUUGUAAGCAUGAUGACGGCUGCAAGAACGUGUGCACAAAGCCUCCUGAAGUUCCAAAAUUUCUAGCGUGCAUUACUUCUGCCCCAAUGUUUGGCAAAUGUUGUUGUUUAGUAAGACCAUAGCUGGUCUAAUGACACAUCAAUAUAUUUGUCAUUACCUAUUACAAGAUUUAAAAUCAAUAUUAAAAAAAUUGUUUGCCUCAUUCUUUAAAUGUUCCACUAGAAGGUCAAAUACCAACUGAUUAUCACCAUAGUUUCUGAGUAUGAUUGCUUUAUCUCCUGGUCUUGUGUUCAGGUCAAGAGAAAGGUUACACACUUCAAGAAGAGUUUAAAACACACGUUUGCUCAGAAAUAAACGAGCAGAUAUUAGAGAUCAAUCUUUCUAACCUUAGUGCAUGAUUUCUUCAUUCAUAAAAGUCUUUUGUACUUUUCUCCAUAGGUUUAAUGAAAAUUGUAUUUGAUAAAACUAUAGAUUCUACAUAUCACAGAGAUAUAAAAAAUAAGAAGAACCAUUAUCUCUUCAACGAUCCCACAAGAAAACAAAAUGUUAUUUAUCUAUUAAAGUUCUAUCUUGUGUGCAGCAGUGAAUAGUGAUCUGAGAUCAGACUUUGCCUUCGAGUUUAUCGUUAUUAACAAGAGGAAGCAACUCCAUCUUGGUUCUUGGUGUUUGAGGAGUCCUAGGAGUUCCAGGCGUUUGUUGCGAAAGCAUAUGCCUCACGUACCCAUACAAUGUGCUUGCAGCAUCAGAAGAGUUAUUCCACAUCCAACAGUAUUCAUAUACCAUAUUGGGUUACAGAAUAUCAACCACAACACCAGUACAGCCACUGCAACCUUCAAAAAGUACAUAACCCAUGCUCAAGAUUUUCUUGGUUACCGUAAGGUUUCCAGCUAAAUUGAUUGUGACUGCAGCUGCGGAGUGAAUGACAUAGAAGAUGGAGAAGUUGAGACAAAAGGCUAACACAACAGAACUUAUUAAAAUGAUGAGGGCUGACCACGGAGACUGGUGUUUCAAAUCAACUCAUCAUUCCAUUGCCUUCCAGUAGUAAUUCUGGUAUCAUGAGGAUCAUGGUGGCGAAAGGCCCUAUGUAGUCUAUUGUGUUUAUGCUACAUAAAAUAAGAACAUGAGAACAAUCAAAUCUCUCUUCCAUUGCGUCUUUGAUGUAGUUCUUUAGUUUCUAUUUCUCAUCUCGCGUUAAUAGCCUCGAGCUUAUACUUGAAUCUCCAUGAUUUAGGCAAGUUUGUCCUUCUCCAUCUCAUGUACUUUUCUGUCUUAAGAGACAAUACACAUCAAACAGUUCGUAUGAAGAAAGUUUCCUCUGAACAUCCGUUUAUUUCAGUAUUAAGAGCAUGAUUAUUGGGAAGUUCUUGGGGUGAGGUUCUUAGCGGAAUAUAAGAUAUUUAAGAGCCGGUUCUUAGUUUUUUUAGUUAAAAAUUAAGAGACGGAUUCUUAAAUAUCUUAUAUUCCGCUAAGAACCUCACCCUAAGAACUUCUCAAUAAUCAUGCUCUAAGUCAUCCUCCUUUUAGAUAUGUACUCUUUUCACAAUGUAUUUGGCUAAAUAGAUUCCAUUGGCAAGCAAUAAACCCUAGCCGCCUACCAGAUUUUGCACCUUUGAUGGAAUCAUCAUACGGCCAAUGCGAUAAGGAAUAGAGAGGUUCAGUUUCACCCUUCAGAUAUAUAAAUUUGGUUGGUGCGACAGAUUAAUUUGGACAAGGAUCACGAAUUGACCAAAACUUGUAAUUAAUAGGAUUUAUUGUUUGAUGUCUUGUAUUUUGGUAAAAACAUAUGCUAGUUUUGUAAAUAAUUAACAGAAUGGUUUAAUUUUAGUAGAGGCUGUAGUUUUGGAUUUUUUGCUAUAAAAUUUUUUUUUGAACGAUUUUAUGGUUUUACCUUUAAAUUUUAUUGCUGUAGGUUUAUUUCAAAGUUUUAAAAGCACUAGAUCUAAAGCCGUAGAAAAAUUGAUUUCUAGAACAAUUUAAAGAUUUUGGACUCUACUUUUAAGUUUUAUUAAUAAAACUUUAUUGUUUUGAUUUUAUUGUUCUAGAGAGAUUUACGGCUGUGUAAAGCACUCACAGCCAAACACCUCUGUAAAGCACCACACAAAAUUAUCUCUUACCGACUUUUAGUUUGUUUUUUCUUUGUUUGACCAGAACUCUAAAUUUUGGAAUUUGUUUUGGCUGAGAAUUUAAUUAAUGUACACACAUUAUUGUAAUUGACCGGAUUUUUAUAUAUGUUUUUUUUCUUUCUUUGUUAAAUAAACUAAUUAGUAACGUAUGUAUUUUUCUUUGUCUGACCAGAACUCUAAGUUUGGAAUUUGUUUUUGUUGAGAAUUUAAUUAAUGCAAGACUUAUACUCAUUAUUGCAAUUGGAUUCUUUAGGAUAUAUGUAAUUAUUUUCUUUCUUUGUUAAAGAAACUAAUUAGUAACGUAUAUAAGUACCAAUUUAUUAAGAGCAUGCCCAACGGUUACGACUCUAUUUUAAGUAUUUGUAACACAAUUUAUUAUUAUUUUAAUAUAAUUUGUUAAUGAUAUUUUUAAAAAUUUAAAAACAAGAGCAAAGUGAGAUGAGAUAGACACAUGGCAAAUAAGCUUAGGACUGAUUGCUAAAUGUUGCAUGCAGGGAUAUUCUCUAUUUUUCUCUCACUUACUUUUCUAUUUUAUAUAUUAAUUUUUUUGCAGAAAUAUAUGCUCUAAGUAUUUAAAAGGGAGAUGAUCAUUUUCUCUCAACCCAAAAUAAAACAUCUCCAGAAAAGGAAAAGAGAUAGAAAGAUAACAAUGUCAGCACAGAAGAUUCAAUUUGCUUCUUUGAUUCUAGCUUUUUCUCUUCUGUUUUCUCAAUCAACUGGUGAGUGUAACUAUAGAUACCCAGUACCACCCGUAGCAAUUUGUAAGAAGAAUGACGACUGCAAGAACGCGUGCGUGCCGCCUUCAGAAGAUCCAAAUUAUCUAGAGUGCAUUACUUCCCGUUCUCCCCCAAAGUAUUUUGGCACAUGUUGUUGUUUACUAAAAGAAACGUAGUCUUACAUAUCAUAACAUUUAAUAUCAAUCAAAAAAUAAUGUUUGCAUC